UAUGUUCCACUAACUUAAAUUUCGUACUCGGUAAAAUGUGUUAUACCGAGCCGAUUUUUAUCAUUCAAAAGUCGUUAUGAGGUGCUAGUUAAUGUUUAAUAAUAUUUUUGGAAAGAAAAUAGUGAAAUUAUGUCUUUAAAUAGAAGUUCAUAUGCACCAGCCAAAUAUAGUAGAAUUUAUCAGUGAGAUUAAUCUGUGAAUAAACAAUUUUAAUUACUUGUGUGAUUAUAAAGAUGUGGGUAACCCACAUCUUUAUAUACGACUUUUCAUGGACCUCGACCUGCUAUGAACCCAUCCACAGAGAGUUAAAUUGAUCCUAUCGCAUGAAUUAUAGCAGAGUUAAAUUAACCCAUCCACAGACAGAAAGUUGAUCCUAUCGUAAUGCAUAAUGGCACUAGAGUUAAAAUAACCCAUCCAUAAAUUAUCCUAUCACAAAGCAUAAUGGGAGAGCCCGCGUUAUUCGAGAAAAAAGUUUAGUGUCGCCAUUUUCUGUGUCUCGAUGAUGUUGAACAAAAAUGAAGAUUUUAAUUGAUUUUUUUCGUUUUUUUAUUGGAUUGUGUUUGAAGUCAACCAUCAUAAAUCAUUUCAAGAAUAUCGUGAAAACUAAACGAGUUGCAGCUGAAAAUGGAACUGGAGGUGCAGCAGUGGUAAAAAAUAGAGAUAAAAAGAAAAGAAAAUGUGAGCUUAAUUGGAAGAGCAAUUAACAUCAGAUAUAGACUAUAUAGGAAUCGGACAUCAGACAAUAUUUGGAUUUACGAUAGCCAGUCAUCUGCUGACAUAAUGUUGAGGAAGUUUUGUAUUUUCCCGUUUUUUAUUUUAUGCAUCGCUUUUAUCAUAUACAGUUUACUAACGGUGGUAUUUGUACAUGAGUCAGCCAGACAAACAAUUCCAAUCCCGAAG